rnacentral:rRNA from 1 species
CGCGUAGGCUGAAAUGAAAGUCAGAUGUGAAAUCCUGGGGCUCAACCUCAGAACAGCAUUUGAAACUUCAUUUCUUGAGGGUAGGCGGAGAAAACGGAAUUCCACAAGUAGCGGUGAAAUGCGUAGAUAUGUGGAAGAACACCGGUGGCGAAGGCGGUUUUCUAGCUUACUCCUGACGCUGAGGCGCGAAAGCAAGGGGAUCAAACA